rnacentral:rRNA from 1 species
GACAUAGGUGGCAAACGUUAUCCGGAAUUACUGGGCGUAAAGAGUGCGUAGGUGGUUCAAUAAGUUACUGGUGGGAAAUCGGGGCUCAACCUCGUGGAAGUCAGUAAUACUAUUAGACUAGAGGGUCGGAGAGGUUAACGGAGUUCUAUGUGUAGCGGUAAAAUGCUUAAAUAUAUAGAGGAACACCAAACGGCGAAGGCAGUUAACUAUUCGAUUCCUGACGUUGAGGCACGAAAGCGUGGGGAGCAAGACGG